rnacentral:rRNA from 1 species
GACGAACGCUGGCGGCGUGCUUAACACAUGCAAGUCGAACGGAAAGGCCCUGCUUUUGUGGGGUGCUCGAGUGGCGAACGGGUGAGUAACACGUGAGUGACCUGCCCUUGACUUUGGGAUAACUUCAGGAAACUGGGGCUAAUACCGGAUAGGAGCUCCUGCUGCAUGGUGGGGGUUGGAAAGUUUCGGCGGUUGGGGAUGGACUCGCGGCUUAUCAGCUUGUUGGUGGGGUAGUGGCUUACCAAGGCUUUGACGGGUAGCCGGCCUGCGAGGGUGACCGGCCACAUUGGGACUGAGAAACGGCCCAGACUCCUACGGGAGGCAGCAGUGGGGAGUAUUGCACAAUGGGCGGAAGCGUGAUGCAGCAACGCCGCGUGCGGGAUGACGGCCUUCGGGUUGUAAACCGCUUUCGCCUGUGACGAAGCGUGAGUGACGGUAAUGGGUAAAGAAGCACCGGCUAACUACGU